rnacentral:rRNA from 1 species
CCUACGGGAGGCAGCAGUGAGGAAUAUUGGUCAAUGGGCUUACGCCUGAACCAGCCAAGUCGCGUGAGGGAAGACUGCCCUAUGGGUUGUAAACCUCUUUUGUCAGGGAGCAAGGGGCGCUACGUGUAGCGUUAUCGAGAGUACCUGAAGAAAAAGCAGCGGCCAACUCCGGGCCAGCAGCCGCGGUAAUACGGAGGAUGCGAGCGUUAUCCGGAUUUAUUGGGUUUAAAGGGUGCGUAGGCGGAAUGCCAAGUCCGCGGUAAAAUCGCGGGGCUCACCCUCGCUCCGCCGUUGAAACUGGCGUUCUUUAGUGGGCGAGAAGUAUGCGGACUGCGUGGUGUAGCGGUG